UCAGCCGGGAGAAUGUGCAACUCGGAGAGAGGAAAGGGAACGUUUUGAAUUCCUGAAUGAUUUUGUAGAAAGGCGGCUUAGGAUCAUUAUGUCAGCUUUACUGAGGGUGGAUUAAGCAGGUCUAGAUUCUAUGCCUUGUACACGGCUCUUUCACAAUGUGA
rnacentral:sRNA from 1 species